rnacentral:rRNA from 1 species
UGCCAGCAGCCGCGGUAAUACGAAGGGGGCGAGCGUUAUUCGGAAUAACUGGGCGUAAAGGGUUUGUAGACGGUAAAUUUUUAUUAAAGGUGAAAUAUGGAAGCUCAACUUUCAUAAGCUUUUAGAUUCAAUUUACUUGAGUUAGAGAGAGGAUAGCAGAAUUUUUCAAGUAGGGGUUAAAUCCAUGAAUAUGAAAAAGAAUACCAGAUGCGAAGGCGGCUAUCUAGCUCUAUACUGACGUUGAGGAACUAAAGCGUGGGGAGCAAACAGGAUUAGAUA